rnacentral:rRNA from 1 species
GCCCGCUCAGAAACUCAAAUGAAUUGACGGGGCCCGCACAAGCGGUGGAGCAUGUGGUUUAAUUCGAUGAUACGCGAGGAACCUUACCUGGGCUCAAAUGUAUGUUGACGUAUUCUGAAAGGGAUACUUCUUCGGACAAUAUACAAGGUGCUGCAUGGUUGUCGUCAGCUCGUGCCGUGAGGUGUCGGGUUAAGUCCCAUAACGAGCGCAACCCCUAUCUUAUGUUGCCAGCACGUUAUGGUGGGGACUCGUAAGAGACUGCCGGGGUCAACUCGGAGGAAGGUGGGGACGACGUCAAGUCAUCAUGCCCCUUAUGUCCAGGGCUUCACACAUGCUACAAUGGCCAGUACAGAGGGCUGCGAGACCGUGAGGUGGAGCGAAUCCCUUAAAGCUGGUCUCAGUUCGGAUCGGGGUCUGCAACUCGACCCCGUGAAGUCGGAGUCGCUAGUAAUCGCAGAUCAGCAACGCUGCGGUGAAUACGUUCCCGGGCCUU